UACAGAGGGUGCGAGCGUUAAUCGGAAUUACUGGGCGUAAAGCGCACGUAGGUGGCGACGUAAGUCGGGUGUGAAAGCCCCGGGCUCAACCUGGGAAUUGCAUUCGAGACUGCAUUGCUGGAGUACGGAAGAGGAGGGCGGAAUUCCCGGUGUAGCGGUGAAAUGCGUAGAUAUCGGGAGGAACAUCAGUGGCGAAGGCAGCCUCCUGGGCCAGCACUGACGCUCAUGCACGAAAGCGUGGGGAGCAAACAGG
rnacentral:rRNA from 1 species